rnacentral:rRNA from 1 species
UACGUAGGUGGCGAGCGUUGUCCGGAUAUACUGGGCGUAAAGGGAGCGUAGGCGGACUUUUAAGUGAGAUGUGAAAUACCCGGGCUCAACUUGGGUGCUGCAUUUCAAACUGGAAGUCUAGAGUGCAGGAGAGGAGAAUGGAAUUCCUAGUGUAGCGGUGAAAUGCGUAGAGAUUAGGAAGAACACCAGUGGCGAAGGCGAUUCUCUGGACUGUAACUGACGCUGAGGCUCGAAAGCGUGGGGAGCAAACAGGAUUAGAUA